ACGGAAGGCAGCAGUGAGGAAUAUUGGUCAAUGGGCGGAAGCCUGAACUAGCCAUGUCGCGUGCAGGACUACGGCCCUACGGGUCUUAAACUGCUUUUGCAAGGGGAUAAAGUGGGGCACGCGUGCCCCUUUGUAGGUACCUUGCGAAUAAGGAUCGGCUAACUCCGUGCCAGCAGCCGCGGUAAUACGGAGGAUCCGAGCGUUAUCCGGAUUUAUUGGGUUUAAAGGGUGCGUAGGCGGGCUGUUAAGUCAGCGGUGAAACCCCCGGGCUCAACCCGGGGACUGCCAUUGAAACUGGCGGCCUUGAGUACGUUGGGAGUGCGCGGAAUGUGUGGUGUAGCGGUGAAAUGCAUAGAUAUCACACAGAACACCGAUCGCGUAGGCAGCGCACUACGCCGCAACUGACGCUGAGGCACGAAGGCGCGGGGAUCGAACAGGAUUAGAUACCCUGGUA
rnacentral:rRNA from 1 species